rnacentral:rRNA from 1 species
CCUACGGGUGGCAGCAGUGGGGAAUAUUGCACAAUGGGGGAAACCCUGAUGCAGCGAUGCCGCGUGGAGGAAGAAGGUUUUCGGAUUGUAAACUCCUUUUAUCAGGGACGAUAAUGACGGUAUCUGAAGAAAAAGCUCCGGCUAACUACGUGCCAGCAGCCGCGGUAAUACGUAGGGAGCGAGCGUUGCCCGGAAUCACUGGGUGUAAAGGGAGCGUAGGCGGGGCGGCAAGUCAGAUGUGAAAACCUAGAGCUCAACCUUCAGACUGCAUUUGAAACUGCUGUUCUUGAGUGAAGUAGAGGUAGGCGGAAUUCCUAGUGUAGGGGUGAAAUGCGUAGAUAUUAGGAGGAACAUUGGUGGCGAAGGCGGCUUACUGGGCUUUUACUGACGCUGAUGCUCGAAAGCGUGGGGAGCAAACAGGAUUAGAUACCCCAGUAGUC